CCCAACCAAAAAUUUGAUGACAGGUAUGUUGGCACUGGACGUGCACUUUAGCCAAAAUUUCUUUCAAUUAGAUAAUUGCUUUCAUACAUGUUCCAUUUGAUUUCAGACGAAGGUGGGAAUAGAACUGCAGAUACAUUUAUACUAAAAUCCACCAUGACAGAUGAAUAUGAUGCCAAGGAUUAGAUUUGAAAAAAGUUCAUCUCUCUACAUUUGAUGAAAGCCAUUUUCAGCAAAGGUGGGAAUAGAACUGCAGACGCAUAUACCAAAAUCCACCAUGACAGACGAAUAUGCUGCCAACUACAGUUUUAGAUUUAAAACUCCUUUCUACAUCUGAUGGAAACCAUUUUCAGACCAAGAGUAGAGAGACUACGCCUCAUGAAGCUCAAAUCGAGGACGAUAGCAGUUCAAAGUAAAAAUAUAUAAUUAGUUAUAAAUUGAAAGUUCAAUUUUUGUAAUAUUUAAUAAAAAUCAUUGCAUUUUAUUGAAAA
rnacentral:lncRNA from 1 species